AGUGAACGCUGGCGGCGUGCCUAAUACAUGCAAGUCGAACGGAGUGGAGCACGGGCGAGUAAUGUAUAGCUAAUCCGCCCUACACUAGAGGAAAACAGUUGGUAACGGCUGCUAAUACUCCAUAGUGUAGGAUGAGGCUAUACUGUAUCAGAUAGCUGGUGAGGUAAUGGCACACCAAGGCUAUGACGCAUAACUGGUCUGAGAGGAUGUGCAGUCACACUGUAACUGAGUCACGAGCCAGACUCCUUCGAGAAUCAGCAGUAGCGAAUAGUUCUCAAGGGGGGUGACCCUGAAGCAGCAACGCCGCGUGGAGUAUGACACUUUUCGGAGCAUAAACUCCUUUUGUUAAAGAUGCGUUACCUAACGAAUAAGCACCGGCUAACUCCGUGCCAGCAGCCGCGGUAAUAC
rnacentral:rRNA from 1 species